AUCACUUGGCAAAAUUUUUCAUUCCCAUUUAGAUUUCCCACGAGACAAGAAGUAAAUUUUUGUCCUUUUCUCUGGAAAAAGAUCUGUUCGUUUGGUAAAGAAGUAUUUGGUUCCUGAAAUUCAAUAUGGAGCAUCGCAUGUCCAACAAGCAAAGCACAGCCACUUCGAACCACCAGGAGCCUAUGGAUGCGGGACGUCGUCGGCGCCGCUCGCCGGCUCGAUCCCGGUCACGUUCUAGACCCGCUUCGCCAAGCCGGCGUCGACGUUCUCGAAGCCGUUCCCGUAGCCGUUCUCGUCGGGCUGGACGUCGCAUGUAGUCGAAAUCUCCGCGCUCCACACGUCAGUCGAGGCAUAGCGACAGUUCGUGAAAAUUCGGUCCAAACCAAACAAUGUCUCACGAAAUCAAAAGUCAAUAAAUAGUUUCCAGUCGGAGAAAUAGU